rnacentral:rRNA from 1 species
UGCAAGUCGAACGGAAAGGCCUCUUCGGAGGUACUCGAGUGGCGAACGGGUGAGUAACACGUGGGCAAUCUGCCCUGCACUUCGGGAUAAGCCUGGGAAACUGGGUCUAAUACCGGAUAGGACCUUUAGACGCAUGUCUUUUGGUGGAAAGCUUUUGCGGUGUGGGAUGGGCCCGCGGCCUAUCAGCUUGUUGGUGGGGUGAUGGCCUACCAAGGCGACGACGGGUAGCCGGCCUGAGAGGGUGUCC